UCUUCUUCGAAUUUGACAAAACUCCUAUGAUUCGCAACCAAAUAAUUCCGCUGACCAUGUUUGUUCUUCUCUGAUAUUUAUCAGAGACGUAUUGUUUCUACACGAUGUCACAAGUCUGUAUUUUAUUUCUACUUUGUUUGUAUGCUGUUAAUGACAGUUUUAUUCAUUAUUGUAUAACACAAAUACAUUUCAUUCAAAAAGUCGUCACAAGAUGGCAUGCAAAAAUAAAUCAUAUUGCGCUGAUGGAAAAAAUCUUCACAUUAGUGAAGUCUUCGGUGAAAAAAAAUAUGUUGCAACAGUUUGGCGAGCUUUACUAUACAAUAAAAGGGUUGUGUAAUGAUUUUUUGUGAAUAUCAUCGCUCGUAGAAUAUUUUUUGUUUAUACCGUGACAGCAAUGCGACAGCAAGGUUAUCAAAAGAAAAAAAGUGUUAAUUUUUUGUUAUAUCAAGGAAAAAGAAAGCAAUACUGGUUUGUAUUUAAAAUAAAUUGCGAUUGUUCCUUGAAAAAUAUACAAAAUAAUAAAGUGAUUCAUAAGGACGGAAAUGUUACGAAUUCGAUUAUGUAUGUGUUGAAGUGUCGUGAGAAUAUUUGUCAUUCAGGUCGAAAGAUAACCAUGAAAUCAGAUAUUUAUAUAUUCGCUUGGAUGCUUAUAUCGCAUACAUUCUCUCUAAACUUAUAUGAUAUACAUAAAGUUGGUCAUCGUCCCGUCCUGUUGAUAGAGGGAGAUUAUGUGUAUGUAGGUGGAGAGUUAGGUCUUGUUAAACUAAACAAAACAUCUUUUAACGAACUUAAAUUCAUUUCGGUACAAAAUGUAUGGGCAGUUCUUGUUGAUGAUGACGCAGAUUUGCUGAUUGUAUGUUCCUCUCUCGGAGACGGAGAAAGUCACUGUCAUAAAUUAACCCGGAAUUUUAAAGAAAAAGACAUAAUGACUGAGCGAUUUAUGAUCGAUCUUAACACACCUCCGUUAUACUAAAAAUGUAGAUUAUCGGAUGAAAUGGGAUAUAUGAUAGCAGCACCAUAUAUUAAGUCGUUCACUAAUCGCAAAGAUUCCAAAACUAUAUACAGCUUACAAAUGGGAAGUCUGGAUGAGUUUUCGUAUUCUAGUAAUAUUGUAUACCAUUUGAUUUAUAAUGGAAACAUGAACCGCUUGCAGAUGAGGUACAAAGCCGGUUUUGUGCAUCAACAAUUUGUAUAUUUUUUGUGUAAUGUUUAUUUAAAUGAUCAAUUUAUUGAAGCAAAGCUAGGCAAAAUGUGUGCAUCCCAUCAUACAUACUCAAGUAAUGGUUUUCGUACUUCGUAUGAAGAUAUUCCUCUUGUGUGUUACCAUGACAAUGUAAACUACACGAAGAUCGAAGAUGGUUUAGUACUGAAUCAAUGGAACGAUAAUUGUAUCUUUCAGUAAUCUGGAAUCAAGCGUUAUCUGUUCGUUUAGCAUUACAGAACUAGCAAAACGUUUCCGAGAUUCGCGGAUGAAUAUUUUACGUUGUAAUCAGAAAACAGGAUGGAAAAAUCGAAGCUUUAAACCGGUCCUUUUUCAGCUUGGAAGUCAAAAACUUAUACCUAUUUGAAAAACCAGACAUGUGCUGAAUCGAUGGUUUGUAAUGUGAUCAAAGGAGAUUUCUGCAACACUGUUCUAUAUUAUACAAUUGAGGGAGUCCAUCCAACUGUCUUAAGUGCAGUUUACAACACAACAGGGAGAGUUCUAUGUCAUCUCGCUAAAAUUGAUUCAAAUGACAUGGUGCUGAUUGCAGGAACAGAUACAGGGCAAAUUGUUAAGUUGAACAUUAGUUCCAUUGAGUCCUAUACAGUAGACGUAGAAUAUGAAAUAACAGGAUCGCACAACAUUGUUGACUUACAAACUCAAAAUGGAACAAUCUACAUAGUAACAGAUUCAAAGUUACAAAGAAUGGCUGUGGAUGACUGUGCCUUUGACACCGACUGCACUGGCUUAAAAAGCUGUCUUAGUCAUAUUAAGUCUUCGGUGUAUUUCUGUACCUUAGCUUUGCUAUACAUUAGAAGUGUCCUGUGGAAUAUUUUCUGAGCCCUUGCGUAGCAUUUUGCCUUGUUUAAAAAGCUUGUUUGUAGGGUGUCAUCUUUUAUUUUCAGUUUCCAGGCAGAAUUCUUACAAAACAAUACUUAGUGGAUUUUAUAGUCAUACAGAAAAUCUUUCAAACUUAAUUUCAUACACGACCUUAUUCAAAUCAGUUAUUAUUAAUUAAGAAUUGCAUGCUUCUUUUUGUAGUUUUAUUUGGGUGUAAAGGCGUUGACCGCAGUACAUUUUGUAUGAAGUGUGAAAUCUAAUUUCAAAAUAAGAUUUAGUUAUCUAAUAAAAUGCAUCAUUCAUGACUGCACGUGCCUCCCGUGACAUCGUCACAACAAUAGAAAAGAAAACAAACAAAAAACCUGAUACAUCACAUUAUUUCAUGGUUGUAGCAUAAAAAUGUAAUUAUAAGAAUUGAAUUUUGUUUUUUUCAUUGUAAAUUUAGAGUGUUGUAAAAGUGUUGAUGUUGCGCAGAUUUUUAGUAUGAAGUGCUUCCGCUUCUAAAUACUUCGGUGUGUAAAUAAAGAGUUUAUUUAACAACUA